AAUAAUCGCCUGGUCGCCGUCAGGUGCCGGCCCAGGUGGCAGGCGCGCCCGUUGGGCACUGGGGGACGCGGGCGCGUCAGGUGAAGACUGGGGGCUGCAGGCGCGCUAGGAGAACUAUGCCAUUUUUGGGUCAGGACUGGAGAUCUCCUGGAUGGAGUUGGAUUAAGACAGAAGAUGGCUGGAAGAAUUGUGAAUCUUGUAGUCAGAAACUUGAAAGAGAGAAUAACCAUUGUAACAUCAGUCACAGCAUUAUCUUAAAUAGCGAAGAUGGAGAAAUACUCAAUAAUGAAGAGCAUGAAUAUGCAUCCAAAAAAAGAAAAAGGACCAUUUUAGAAAUGACACAAAUACUCAAAGUGAUCCGAUAACCAAGACGGCUACUGAGUGACCAAGGGGCGGGUAGUGUAGGACUCGCUUGACAAAGGGAGGAUUUGCAUCCCAGGCAGGACAGAGCCGGACGGUGUGAGAUUUCAUGACACCACCCAGAAUGGCACACAAUUUAAAGCUUAUGAAUGGUUUAUUUCUGGAAUUUUCCACUUAAUGUUUUCAAACCAAAGCUGACUGUGGGUAAUUGAAACUGUAGAAGAUGAAACUGUGAAUACGGGGGGACUACUUUAUGAAGAAGAUAGGGUCACAUGGAGAAUACAGUUAGUGUGAUUCUUGAAACUUUUAAGAUUUAUCUGAAAAAUUUGUUUCUAUGGAGUACUAUACACAGCAACAGAAGAAUAGAACUUUUUAUUAGGGUACAUAGGAAUGUAGUAAUGUAAUUGCAUUUUAUAAUCAUUUAUGUCUUCAUAUGGCUUCAGUCAUUAAUAAUACUAAUUUUCUUCUAAGUUACUAGGACUUGGUACUGUCUGAAAUCAUUGUUCAUAUCUUAAACUGAUUUAAGAAACAAAGCAAUUCUGUUUGCAUUCAACCAAGUAAAAGCAUUUCUUGUCAAUAUAGUAAGUCAGAUAAUUUUGUUAACAUGUCCAAUUAUUUAAAUUCCUUUAAAAUCUUCAUUUUGAAAUGAUUUGCCAGAUUUUAAAAACAAAGGUAAUUUUUAUUCUAGGUUUUUAUCAUGAAAAAUGGAUCUAUGUCCAUAAAGAAAGCACAAAAGAAGUAAGUAUUCUAUUAUAAAUAAGAGAGUAUCUUGGAUUGUUUCUGUUGAAUAUGGAGUCACAUUAAAUAAAUGUAUUAAUAAAGUUGCAUAAAACACA
rnacentral:lncRNA from 1 species